rnacentral:misc_RNA from 1 species
GAUGAAGAACGUAGCGAAAUGUGAUACUUGGUGUGAAUUGCAGAAUCCCGUGAACCAUCGAGUCUUUGAACGCAAGUUGCGCCCGAAGCCAUUAGGCCGAGGGCACGCCUGCCUGGGCGUCACACGUCGUUGCCCCCCCAUCUACUCCUUCGGGAUUGCGGGGGGCGGAUGAUGGCCUCUCGUGCGCCUCGUCGCGCGGUUGGCCUAAAUGCCAAGUCCUCGGCGACGCACGCCACGACAAUCGGUGGUUGCGAAACCUCGGUUGCCUGUCGUGUGCGGUCGUCGCGCAUCGAGGGCUCGAAAAAAUUGCCGGGCUCCGGCUCGGCUUUCAACGCGACCCCAGGUCAGGCGGGGUUACCCGCUGAAUUUAAGCAUAUCAAUAAGCGGAGGA